rnacentral:rRNA from 1 species
UACGAAGGGGGCUAGCGUUGCUCGGAAUCACUGGGCGUAAAGGGUGCGUAGGCGGGUCUUUUAAGUCAGGGGUGAAAUCCUGGAGCUCAACUCCAGAACUGCCUUUGAUACUGAAGAUCUUGAGUUCGGGAGAGGUGAGUGGAACUGCGAGUGUAGAGGUGAAAUUCGUAGAUAUUCGCAAGAACACCAGUGGCGAAGGCGGGUCUCUGGGCCGAUACUGACGCUGAGGAGCGAAAGCGUGGGGAGCGAACAGG